rnacentral:lncRNA from 1 species
GCUCGCGGCCGCCGGCUUCCGAGUUUUAAAUAAACUCCCCGGACACGAGUUUUUAAAUAAACUCGUGUCCCCCCCGCCCCCGCCCCCUCGCGCGCGCGCGACCGCAGGGGUCCCCCGGCCUCUUGUGCCCUGGGGGUCCCGGCCCGGCGCAGGCUCCUCCGGACCCGGGGGUAGGGGCGUCGGGACCCCACGAGCGGCACCAGGCCUGUACUUCUCUGCGUUCUCCAUGAGGAAGCAAGCCCGGGGCCUUCAGGAACCACGACGCCUAAUGAGCUUCCACCCAGAUGGUCCCGAAACCCGAGGGACGCAGGGGAGGCGCCCAGGUCCUCAGAUGGGCCAGGAAUGGCCUCGUGGGGCCUACUCAGAAGGACUCAGAGUUCUUCCCGGUGGUCUCAGCGAUGGCUGGUGUGGAAACCACGCGUGUCCCCAUGCUGCCGGCCUGUGUGUAUCAAGGACUAGAUCACACUUUCCGGCUGGCCCAGUUCUGCAGCCCUCAUAAAAUACACCCAUGUCGGUCGGGCGUCGCUGCCCGGCGCACUGCCUUGCAGCAGGGACCUUUUCGAGCUUAUUUUCUUCAGUAGGAAACACGAAAACUAGCCACUGCCCCGUCGUGUUUUUUCCUUGCGUAAAAGAAAGGGGCUCCUUACUACAGGUCGGCCACCGGCUCUUCAGGUACAGAGAUCUGAACUUGGAAAGACCUGCCUUUCUAAAGGGAGUGAUAAUGAACACUGCGGCGUAAGUGUCCCAGGAUUUAAAACCGAAACUCCAACAAAAAAAAAUUUUUUAAACUCUGCUACUAGCAAGAGCACAUUGUGUAAAACACUGACACGGGACAUGGUUUAAACAUGUCAACAUUUUCUAACAUUGGGAUGAAGUGGUGUCUACCUCCCGUCCCGUGAAGCGUCAGGGCACCGACCACACGGACCCCCCUCCGUGGAGCUCACGGCCCUGUGCUCAGCUCUGCUAAGACCAGCGAGUUUUCCAGAGCUGGGGGAGCCCGGUUCUCAAGCAAGCCCCGCAGUUAUCAGGGUCGCGCAGGAAGCGGCAGCGCUCGGAAGGACGUCUGCCCUUAUGAAGUACAUAUGUUGGCAGGUGUGCUGGCGCUCUUUAAAUAAAUUAUAUAAAAUAUUUCAGAGCUGGUAAGGAAUUUGGAAAAGCGUCUUCCAAUUUCCAUUAGCAUUGCAAUCCCUAAUCCCUAACUCGUAUGCUCACACCUCUGCAAGGGUAUUUUCAAAGCCACUUGCAGGAGCCCACCCGGCAUCGCCAGGGGUGUGUGCCGGGGACGGGCUAAGGUGGGGGACUGGAAUGUGAGAUGCGCCGCAGGGGGGUCUCAGCGCCCCCCACACCGGGUUUCAGGGACCCACACUGUGCCAUCUUUUUUUCACUAUAAAGAAGCAGCUCGAAACUUGGCGGUUCCUUUUCAAACUUGCCUGAAACAUCUUCUCUGGCUGGAACUCCUGCCUAUAGGAUUUCAAAAUGGCUUAAAUUCGGGGCUGUGCUGCGGCCGCGCUUUGGAUCUUUUGGUCCUGCAGGUCCAGGAGCCGGCGUGACGGGCUCGGCCCUGGGGAAUUCAGGGGCGCGGCGCGAGGGAGACGCCGCCACGAGCUCGGGGUGGGGGUGGGGGGCGCAGAACCCCCAAACCGCGAUCUUGGCGCCAGAGGGUGGCUCUGCCUCGCUCAGGAAGACACGGGGCAUCCUUCACUCCCAAGGAAGCCUCCCUUCCUCCCUCCCACGUGCCCUCUGUGGUCCUGACGGCCCAGCCUCGCC